rnacentral:tRNA from 1 species
GUAUGUAGCUCAGUGGCAGGGUGCUUGCCUAGCAUGUGUGAGGCACUGGGUUCAAGUCUCAGCACCACA